CGUGAAAUUGUCGAAAGGGAAGCGCUUGAAGUCAGCCAUGCUGCUUGAGACUCAGCCUUGCUUUUGCUUGGUGUAUUUCUCGGUAGCAAGCCAGCAUUGGUUCGAGUCGUCGGAGAAGGGUAUGAGAAAUGUGGCAUCCUCGGAUGUGUUAUAGACUUGUACUGGAUACGACGAUUUGGAUCAAGGAACGCAGUGUGCCUCU
rnacentral:rRNA from 1 species